rnacentral:rRNA from 1 species
UACAGAGGGGGCAAGCGUUAUUCGGAAUUAUUGGGCGUAAAGGGCGCGUAGGCGGCUUUGCAAGUGACGGGUGAAAUCCCUCGGCUUAACCGAGGAACUGCCUGUCAGACUGCAUGGCUUGAGACCGGGAGAGGUGAGUGGAAUUCCCAGUGUAGCGGUGAAAAUGCGUAGAUAUUGGGAGGAACACCAGUGGCGAAGGCGGCUCACUGGACCGGUACUGACGCUGAUGCGCGAAAGCGUGGGGAGCAAACAGG